UCCUGACCAUUAGCUCUUUAGGUUUGCCUUUAGAGCUGUGGACCAGGAGACCAUAGAAGCCUGCAAAAGAGCAGUGUAAUUUAUAUAUAUAUAUAUGACAUCCAUACAGGAUACAAAGUCUGUUAGCACAAAUCUCCUCAGACUUCUGCUCCUCCUGUCCUUCAAAGUAACCUAAAUAAUGACAGCCAAGUGUGAGCAACCAAGCUCUGCUAAUAAACAAGGAACAGGCCCAAAAGAAUGUGCUUUUCUACUGGUGGUUUGGUUUUCUAACUGUGACCUUCGAGAGAUGUUGCCUCAGCUUCUGGUCUACCACAUGGAACCCUGACACUAAACCUGGGUUCACGGGCCAAAGAGUAGGGAGGGAAGCGCCAUAUGAGGAGGCUGUUUUCUCCUGCCAGAGGAAUGGAGGAAAAGCAAGAGAACCAUAGUCCAACUGCGUUGAUGUUGAACAUCCUCUAAAUGACAGCUGUGGAAGCUGAACCACGUGUGAGGCCCCGAGCCACAGCAUCCUUCCGGCUCUGGAAACCCAAGUGGGUCACCCUUCACUACGCUUCUUGGCCCAAGAAGUCAGUGCAAAGCAGCAGGUGGCACUGAGAGCAGGGCAUUCUCCCUCCACUCCCCGGUGCAUGUGAAGCACCCUGAGGUCUACGAAUCUGAUGCUUACUGUGAAAAAAGAAGGGAGCCUCUGAAAAGUGAUCUUGCAAGACUUUUAAACAAAUGUCCUCGGAUGCACUCUGCCUAAGCUCAGAAGACACCAAAA